GCCGCCCACACGCAAUGAAUUUCAGUCCUGCUAGGAGCCAGGGGGAAAUGGAUCUGAGUGCAUAUGGUGUCAUCGACUGCAACAGCUUACGUUACAAAUGGAUUGCAUGCUAAUAUAUCACCUGCAAGAAGCGGAACUGCUUCAGUGUUGCCGGUUAAUGAGCACACAGGCUAAGACGCAGUCAGAAGCAGCACUAUCAUGUCGGACUCUGAGAGCACUGCCCCAGCUGAGGUCCCCGUGCCUGCCGCCUGUGAGGCGAUCAAGGCCGACCUGGACAAGUGUGUGAAGGAGAAUGGAGAGGAGGGCUGCAAAGACCUGAUGGAGGCGUUCGCAGCCUGUGUGAAGAGUGCUGCUGGGGCAUCAUGAGAGGAGCGGAGCUUGGCUCACAGGAAAUGUCCACUGCACUGAGUCCUCCACCUUCCCAGCAUUCCCUUCUGCACAUGGCACUGGACUGAAUGAUACAGAUUCUGAUGGGGGUUUGGUGGCAGAGUCUCGUCCUGUCCCCCAGAUCCUCCCUCCUGUAAAGCUUAAGUGAUCUCUGAGCCUUCCUCCUGACCCCUGCCCCUAUGGCUGAAUUGUAGGCAGUUCUGGAGAGCCCAUGGCUGUUAUGUAAAUUGUCUUCAAGAUGCUUACAUUUAAAUGCAAAUAAUAAAGUGAUUGGUACAGUG